GCAUAUGUUUGGAAGACAUAAGAACUUCAAGCGUACUAAACAAGUGUUCCAAGUAAACUGUAAAAAGGGAGUGCUGAUUCGGGAGAUGACAAAGUCAAGGGGUACAUUUUCAUAAUUAUGAGUAUUUCAUAUGGUUGUUACUUUUUUGGUUUCUAAACACCAAAAAUUUAGAUUUCAAAUGAUCUAAUGAAUUGUUUUUUUUUUUUUUUU
rnacentral:lncRNA from 1 species